rnacentral:misc_RNA from 1 species
AAGUCGUAACAAGGUUUCCGUAGGUGAACCUGCGGAAGGAUCAUUAAAAACUUUUAUUCGGGAAUUCGUUUCGUUUUCCGGAUUAUUUGUAUUCAAAUCCCACUCUUUUAAAAUAUAUAAAUUUAUAUAAAACAAAAAUAAAAAAAGAAAACUUUCAACAACGGAUCUCUUGGCUCUC